rnacentral:misc_RNA from 1 species
GGGUAUCAGACGCGGGUACUCGUGGCCAACCUCCACCCGUGACUAUUGUACCUUGUUGCUUCGGCGGGCCCGCCAGCCCUGCUGGCCGCCGGGGGGCGUCUCGCCCCCGGGCCCGUGCCCGCCGGAGACCCCAACAUGAACCCUGUUCUGAAAGCUUGCAGUCUGAGUGUGAUUCUUUGCAAUCAGUUAAAACUUUCAACAAUGGAUCUCUUGGUUCCGGCAUCGAUGAAGAACGCAGCGAAAUGCGAUAACUAAUGUGAAUUGCAGAAUUCAGUGAAUCAUCGAGUCUUUGAACGCACAUUGCGCCCCCUGGUAUUCCGGGGGGCAUGCCUGUCCGAGCGUCAUUGCUGCCCUCAAGCCCGGCUUGUGUGUUGGGUCCUCGUCCCCCGGCUCCGGGGGACGGGCCCGAAAGGCAGCGGCGGCACCGCGUCCGGUCCUCGAGCGUAUGGGGCUUUGUCUUCCGCUCUGCAGGCCCGGCCGGCGCCCGCCGGCGCAAUUUUUUGCAACCUUUUAUUUUUCCAGGUUGACCUCGGAUCAGGUAGGGAUACCCGCUGAACUUAAGCAUAUCAUAAGCCGGGAAGAAAACCGCCCCUCCCCCAAAA